rnacentral:lncRNA from 1 species
ACUCGUUGUCGUGGACUCGGAGGUCGUUGCGGAACCAGACGACGGAGGCGCGGCGGAGGGCGGCGGAGUUGGAAGGCUCCGAUGGGCGGCGCGGGGUGGGGGGGGGCGGGGUGUGGAGGGGGCUCGCCGUGGGUGUCGGAGCGUAGAUUAGCGGCGAUUGUGGACUUGAAGGAGAGGCCUCUCGGAAUGGGAGGUGAUGAUGAAGAGAUUGAGAAAUUGAGAGACUGAGUAGGGAUUUUGACCCUGCUGGGAGAUGAGGCUGCGAAGAGAGUGAAGAUUCUGGCGGGGGUGAAG